rnacentral:lncRNA from 1 species
CGGAUCGGACCCUGCGAAUGGUUUUGGCUAUAUCUUCAUGUAGGACCUACUCCCUAUCCCGUCGGCCGCGGUGAAUCCCACCUGCGGUGCUUUAACUUGUGCUGGGCUUCAUCACCAGGCCUCCUCACAGAUUCCUGUCCCUUCUGUGUCCUGGACUCCGGAUACCUCAACUCUCAGUACUUUGUGCUCAGCCCAGGCCCAGAGCCAUGGCUAUCUCCUCUUCCUCCUGCGAACUGCCCCUGGUGGCUGUGUGCCAGGUAACAUCGACGCCAGACAAGCAACAGAACUUUAAAACAUGUGCUGAGCUGGUUCGAGAGGCUGCCAGACUGGGUGCCUGCCUGGCUUUCCUGCCUGAGGCAUUUGACUUCAU